UUCGUUUCGAUUCUCCACCAUAGAAGAAGCUCGCAGCUCUGGUUCCGAUUCUCCAGCUCACAGAACUCAUUGUGCAAUCAAAGAGUAAACGAUGACAUCUGUACCAGGCAGUGAUAAUCUAAUAUGGAGUGAUGAACAAAGCC